UACCACACUUUUUGUAAAAAGUUAUAAGAAUGACAUGCUUAUUUUUCAAAUUUAUAUCGAUGAUAUUAUCUUUGGUGCCACUAACACAUCUUUGUGAAGAGUUUUCUAAAAGUAUGAGAAGGGAAUUUGAAAUGAGCAUGAUGGGAAAAUUAAAAUUCUUCCUCGAGUUGCAAAUUAAACAAACUUGUGAUGGAAUCUUCAUAAAUCAAAGCAAGUAUUUGCUAGACAUGCUCAAAAAAUUUUGACAUGGAUGGGCUAAGACCAAUGAACACUCCCAUGAGUUCAGCCAUAAAGCUUGACAAAGAUAACCAAGCUACUCUUAUUGAUGUAACUAAAUAUCGAGGUAUGAUCAGAUCUCUUCUUUAUUUAACCGCUAGUAGACCCGAUAUUAUGUUUAGUAUUUGCCUAUAUGCUACAUUUCAAUCUAGUCCUAAGAAAUCACACCUUAAAUGUAACAUCCCCAAAUUUUGAUACCUAGAUAUUACCAUUUAACUUCCUCUUGAAAACAUAAAUGCGUAAGCGAUUACAUUCUUCUUUGAGCUUAAUAAAAUAUAAAAGAAUUUAAAAUAAAUUUUCAUUUCAUUUCAAAAUGAAAUGAAAUCUAAACUAUAUUGGGAUCGAGUUCGUGUCACCCCAAGUCAUCAUCUCAUAUCAUCUUCCCUUCAUCAUCUGAAAAUGAGGGGGGGGGGGGAUAACGUGGGAUGAGCUAAUGCUUAGUAAGCAAAUCUCAUGCAUAUGAUGCAUGCUCAUGAUAUGCAUAUAAGUUACUUUAAAAUAGAAACAUUUCUUAUUAUGUAUUCCCAUUCUUUCAUUUCUUUAAAAACGUAAACAUUGACGUCGUGAGCUCACUUGAUGUGAUAGCCUAUAGCCAAUCAGAAUGCAGUGGGCCAUGUUAUUUGGAACCCGAUCAAAUUUUACUUGUAGUACUGUGAAGCAGAUAACAUUAACAUUGAACAUUGAAUCGCAAGGCGGUUAAUGUACAUUAGUAGGGUGCGCUAGUCCCCCACGCCUCCCACUCACACCUUUAUAGCAUAGACAUACAUCUUGUAACAUGAACUUUUGGGAUACAUACUUUUAAAACAUUCAUUGAAUCAUGACAAUUGAAAACAUUUUAUUUGUUAAAACUUCAUGUAUGCUUAUGGGUGUAUUGAUGUGCAUGAAUAUGCAUGAAACAUUCAUGACAUAAAACUUCAUAAUUAAACAUCAUGUUCACAUAAGAGCAAUUUAGAUAACAUGUUUAUAAAUUUAAUCAUGUCACAUGCCAUGAAAACAAGGGAAGGUUUACUUGGAAUCCUUAGCAAUUUCAUUUUAUAGUGGAUAGUGGAGAUGUCCCUGGCUGCCCACAAAAUCUAUGUACCGAUUAUCAUAGGUCAUUACCAAUCAUUUAAAAGUUCAAUAAUAUGCAUUAUGACAAUCAAUCUUUAUUCUAUUAAGAUAAACUACUGAACAUGUAAAAUAAAAACUGCUCACAAUCAUAUAAAGAUUUAAAAAUGGAAUUUAUGAUUGAAAUCACUUUUGACCCAUAAAGGUACUACUAUUUAUUAUUAUUAUUAUUGUUUGAUAGGGAGUAAUUGUUAAUGUACUAAUGAAGGGAUGUCAAUCUAGAGGCAAAGUGAACAUACAUAAUGCAAUCAUAUGAACUCAUAAGGUAUUUAAUCGAAAGAAUUAUGCAAAAUUAGAAUAUUAAUGAUUGAAGCUAUAUUUUUAAUAAAGAAACUAAGUGCUCCAUUUUGUUCUCCUUUCUCAAGUGAUAUGACAACUAACUUCUAAAUUUAUAACUCAAACGGAGAGAAGGCAAAAAGUGGGUGCAAAUUAAAUAAUAAAUUUACCAAUAAAUGUGAUUUAUAGUUUUUUGACGAAGAACAUGCUUUGAUUAAAAAUAACAGCACUUUGUUUAUAUUCUCACAUGAAUAAAACUCACACUCAUUUAACCAUUCAUUUGGAGAAAAAAUGUCUAGG
rnacentral:lncRNA from 1 species